ACAAACCGUGAACUCCUUGUCGUCACCAGCAGAUCCCUUGACCGGGUUUCUGCUGGGCGUCGUAUCGCCUAACAGCCAUGCGGCGGGUCUCACGGCCGGCCUUACGGCUGACCGCGGGGCCGACUGCUUUAACCCAACAAACACCAAAGCAAUCAACCUGAAACAGUUUGCCGUCGACUUGAUCGGCGUUGCAACCAAACAAAUGACAACUCUCAACAACGGAUAUCUUGGCUCCYGCAUCGAUGAAGAACGCAGCGAAAUGCGAUACGUAGUGUGAAUUGCAGAAUUCCGUGAAUCAUCGAAUCUUUGAACGCAUAUUGCGCUCGAGACCUCGGUCAAGAGCAUGUCUGGCUCAGCGUCGGCUCACCCCACUCGCCACCCUCUCCCCUGUGGAGAANGGCAGGCGGAUCUGGCCGUGUCUGAGNUCCUUGANAGAACAGGCUCGGCUGAAGAACAGANGCUUGAGCAUGGUCCCGCUGAUANGGCGCCAGCUUGGUANGUAGCUUACGCUGCAUGCCGCUGACUCCCUAAGGACCUGUGCUGUAAAGCCGGCAGGAAUCGGAACCGAAGCUCCGAACUCUUACUUUCACCUGAGCUAAGGCAAAUACCCGCUGAACUUAAGCAUAUCA
rnacentral:rRNA from 1 species